GCCUCCUUGGUGCAGUGGUUCUUAACAGUUCAACAGUUCUCUAUCAUAAUUGUGAAAUGUUUAGGACCACUUGACCAGCG
rnacentral:pre_miRNA from 7 species